rnacentral:tRNA from 1 species
GAGGAUAUAGCUCAGUUGGUAGAGUGCUUGCCUUGCAUGCUUAAGGCCCUGGGUUCAAUCCCUAGUGCGCACA